rnacentral:siRNA from 1 species
CCGGGUUUAUCGUAGGAUCUU